GGCGCGGGCCCCACGCUUCCGCACCCUGCUCAGGCCUCGACCACGGCGAACCUGAACGCGGCAGCGGCCUCGGAGAGAUGAGCAAUAACAGCAAUAAGAGAGCUCCAACAACAGCAACACAAAGGUUGAAGCAGGACUACCUUCGAAUUAAGAAAGACCCAGUGCCUUACAUUUGUGCAGAGCCUCUCCCUUCAAAUAUUCUUGAAUGGUAAGACUCAUUCUGUUGCAGGCAUUAUGUUGUCCGAGGCCCUGAGAUGACUCCUUAUGAAGGUGGCUAUUAUCAUGGAAAACUAAUUUUUCCCAGAGAAUUUCCAUUUAAGCCUCCUAGUAUUUACAUGAUAACCCCCAAUGGAAGAUUUAAGUGCCACACAAGGCUGUGUCUCUCCAUCACAGAUUUCCACCCAGAUACAUGGAAUCCACCAUUCUAACAGGGCUCCUGAGCUUUAUGGUGGAGAAAGGCCCCACCCUGGGGAGCAUAGAGACAUCGGACUUCACGAAAAAACAGCUGGCAGCACAGAGUCUAGUGUUUAAUUUAAAAGAUAAAGUCUUUUGUGAAUUAUUUCCUGAAGUUGUGGAGGAAAUUAAACAGAAACAGAAAGCACAAGAUGAACUAAGUAACAGGCCCCAGAAUCUUCCUUUGCCAGACGUGGUUCCUGAUGGGGAGAUGCACCGUGGCCAGAAUGGGAUCCAGCUCCUCAACGGGCAUGCACCUGCUGCUGGCCCAAACCUUGCUGGGCUCCCACAGGCCAACAGGCAUCAUGGACUCCUGGGCGGCGCUUUGGCGAACUUGUUUGUUAUAGUUGGGUUUGCGGCCUUUGCCUACACAGUCAAGUACGUGCUGAGAAGCAUAGCACAGGAGUGAGGUUCACAAGCCACAACCUACAGUUGCUGCUGAGGGACACAGGGGCCAGAGCUUGAUGCAGGCGUGAUGGACAUGCUGCUGAGCACAGGGUGGCCUGCCGGACUCCUGGGCUUCACUUUUUAAAAACCUUAAAAAGAAAGCAAAAACCAAAAUGUGAUCUGGAGGAGACUGGAGGUUCUCAACUCCCUCUUGAGGUUGUCGUGGGCAGUGCCACUCACGCUUUGGUUCUAUUGCUUAUCUCCUGUGUUGUCUUUUGAACCUGUUUAGUA